GAUGAACGCUGGCGGCGUGCCUAAUACAUGCAAGUCGAGCGAACAGACGAGGAGCUUGCUCCUCUGACGUUAGCGGCGGACGGGUGAGUAACACGUGGAUAACCUACCUAUAAGACUGGGAUAACUUCGGGAAACCGGAGCUAAUACCGGAUAAUAUAUUGAACCGCAUGGUUCAAUAGUGAAAGACGGUUUUGCUGUCACUUAUAGAUGGAUCCGCGCCGCAUUAGCUAGUUGGUAAGGUAACGGCUUACCAAGGCAACGAUGCGUAGCCGACCUGAGAGGGUGUUCGGCCACACUGGAACUGAGACACGGUCCAGGCUCCUACGGGAGGCAGCAGUAGGGAAUCUUCCUCAAUGGGCGAAAGCCUGACGGAGCAACGCCGCGUGAGUGAUGAAGGUCUUCGGAUCGUAAAACUCUGUUAUUAGGAAAGAACAAAUGUGUAAGUAACUAUGCACGUCUUGACGGUACCUAAUCAGAAAGCCACGGCUAACUACGUG
rnacentral:rRNA from 1 species